AAGACUAUACUUUCAGGGAUCAUUUCUAUAGUUCACAACUAGAGAAGGUUCUCUGACUGUGUAGAGUACCAGACACACAAGGACAAGAUGUAGUGCUCCCUUCUGAGUGUGAAGUUAGCUUUUAAGCAGCUGCCUUUGCCUUUAAUGAUUGUUCUCUUCUUUUGGGAGAGUUAGAGGGAGGGAAUGAAGUCUAAGUGAU
rnacentral:snoRNA from 1 species